rnacentral:lncRNA from 1 species
GUGGUCGGAGUGAGCGCAUGCGUGUUACGGGAGAGGUGGAGCUAUGUCGUCAUCGUUUCAGAAGAAUCUCGUGUAAACACAGAAACGUGUGGUCGUGGUUUGUCCGUGAUAUCAAGGGAGCCGGGUUCAGAUGUUCUGGUUCCGAACGGCCGCGUCGUGUGGACGAGGCCUCAGUGAGCGGAUGUUCCGAAGCCAGAUGAUACAGGUCUGCGCUCGGAGGCCGGUUUGGUCCGAAUGACUACCCGUAGACCACGUGACUGUUGUUGUCACACGCCGCGCCGCUGCUGCACGCGCAUGCUGGACGCUCCGGAGCUAACGGACAAUAACACGCGCUGUGGACGGACCCGGAGCCGCGCGGGACACAGUCCACUGUGGGAGACAUGUGCUUCUCCACGGGGGACUCGGCGCUGACGCUGGCGGUGCCGCCUGUAGAAGCUAGCCUGGACGCUGUAGCUUUGCAGGCUACCGGGAGCUAACAUUAGCAGCUAUGCGGCUAACUGGAUCCGCCGGGUCCACAAACAACGGCCCGCUAAGGAACGGAUCCACGGCGUGAUACGGAGCAGAGCGUGUUGUGUUCGUGCUGGACUCCACAGAACCAGAGUGUGGAGAAAACGGCAGGAGACGCGCCGGGGGUCGGUCCAGAGGACCAGCUUUCCAGCCGGGCUCGCAGCGGAACAGCAGGAGACACGAGGAGGCAAGAAGAGGACACGAUGAGCCCGGCGGGGCUCAGGAGGACCUCUGACAUCAGGAGGCAGCAGCGGUGGCUGAAGAAAAGCAGAAGGCAGUGCACAGAUGUGACAGAAGGGGCGUCACGGUGGGGAUGUCCAGAGAGCACAGCGGAUGGAUCCGAGGUCACGCCCGUUGAGGAGGAGAGGAGGGGCCAGGAGGAGCACGGCAGAGGUCAGGAGGAGGUGCUGACACGGGGAGGUGAAAGCAUAGCGUAGAGGACAGUGCGAGCAGAUG